UACACGUAACACAAGAGUUGUCAUCUGUUUAGAAGAAGACACAACAUGAGGUGAAAAGGAAAGGACAAUAAUGUGCAGUGGGUUCAUAUGUAAAACGGGAUGCAUUGCCUCUCACACCUGCCAGAAAGAUACAUCAUCUCAUCCGGAAGCCCUGUUGCCCUAGUCUGAGAUGUGCAGUUAUUCAGGGAUGAAGGACAUGCAUUGUGUGUAUAGCUGAAAGCAUUUCUGUUACUCUAGUGUUUGGAGGUGGAACAGUGGCACAAAGCACAUUUUGGCUAAACAUUUGGAGAGCUCUGGUUUAGCCUAAGACGAUGGGACUUGAGCAGGGGCUGACGGAAAGCCAUUCUUUCUCAAACAUGUGUUGCUGCUUUGCCGGAAAUAAUACUGCUCAUUGUUAUUUGAGGGUUGCUUUUUUAGUUUCCCCUUUCUUUGCCUUUCCUUCUGCAGAUAACGUUCCUGCGCUCACUUGGAUUCUGAACCUUUCAAGAAAACUGUUGAAGAAGUCAACUAAGAGUAGCCAGGAUGCUCUGAUCUUCCUCUCAUUGCCUGAUCCUUUUACACCUGUGUCUCAUCCCACACAGGAGCCUGGACUGUGGGAUGCCUGCUGGCACUUGCUCAGAGAAGUCUUGGGGUUUCCCUAAGCUUGUGCAAUACAAAGAAAACUCUUGUCCCCCCCUUUUUUUUAAGGCAACCCCUUUCUUUUAAGUGUUGUGUGAGUUUGUGUGUAUGUGUGUAUAUAAAAGCCCAGGUCAAACUGGAACUGGUUGACAAUAAAAGUGACUGAAAACAACAAACAAAUG